rnacentral:lncRNA from 1 species
GGGAGGAAUGACCUCCCCUAUGUGACCUCACAGGUGGCCAACAUUAGCGAGAAAUAUGAAACGAUGGACGUGAGAGACUACAGGGAGCACAGGUGAAACACGGCAGGUUCACAGAAACGUGUGACGUCGAAAGAGACCGAGUUCCCACAAGUUCACUAUUUGUCCUGUCCACGUGGAACUGAAGUGCUAGUAAGCAGCAAAAUGGCCACAAAGCAGCUAGUCUAAUGGAAAAGGAAAGGUAAUUCACAUCGAUUACCUACUACGGAUUAUGGAACUCUCUAAACCUGUCCCAUUCACCCUGACAUUCU